AACCGCUCCAAGUUAAUGAUA
rnacentral:misc_RNA from 1 species